rnacentral:lncRNA from 1 species
GGGACAAUGGGCCAGAGCUUCUCAUGCAGCCUGCACCAGCGCCGGGUCGGAGAGUCAGAGGCCACCCUGAGAUGGACCGAGAUCUUCAGUUGGGGAGGCGCCUCCGGUGAGCUUGCGGCCAGAUGCCCCCUCAGUAGUCCUCCGCAACAGGUGCCGCGCAGCCGAGUGGCGGGCUAGCAUACCGCCUGCCCGCAAUUCGGCCAGGCCUCGAGCCUGCUCCGCCUUCCCGCUGCGGUAGCGCCGCCGGGGAAACGCCGCCACGGGCUGCAUGGGCAGCGCUCGCGCCCCGCCGCUGAGCCGCCGGGGAGCCGUCCAGUCUUCGAAUCCCAGCUUGGUGGCAUGCAUGUUUAGUCCCAGCUACACAGCAGGGAGGCUGAGGCUGAAGGAAUACUUGAGCCCAGGAAUUCAAGACUAGCCUGCACAACAUAAAAUGCAACAACUUGAGCAAGAGUGAUCAGUUACUAAGAGGAGUACCUAACGUCCUUAGAAGAAAAGAUUCAGAUCAUAGGGAUUUUAUUUACAGAAAUGUAUUUACCUGUUUGUAAUGUAUGCCAGUUUAGAGAGUCUCGUUCUGUCACCCGGGCUGGAGUGCAGGAGGACAAUCUCGGCUCGCUGAAACCUCUGCCGCCUGGGUUCAAGCAAUUCUCUGGGUUUGUGAUGAAGAAAUAAACAAUGCCCAGUUCCUGCCCUGGAGAAGCUCAUUGCAUAGAAAAAGGAAAAAGGCAGAUAUACAUGCCACAGUACAGUGCUGAGACAACAUAAAUCACAAGCAACCAAGUACAAAGUGAAUUAUACAGAAUCUGGUUUUCUUCUGUUUGGAUUUGAUACUGAGCUAUACUGGAUUCACUGACAAGAAGAGUUUGAAUUAGCAGCAUGCUGAGAAUGGACACAGUGUUUGAAGAGACUGAUAAAGAAAGUACAGGAGGAGUUUUAUUUUUGGAAGAAGAAAUGGUCCUUGGGCACAGACCCCAUAUGAGUUUUCCUUUCAGCGUUCUCUGCUCAGCUGUUCUCUGCUGUGGUAAUUUUGGAUCAAAUCACCCUAACGUUUUUCAACAAAGACUUUAGAAGAAAUAAAGCUGCAUUACUUUUUCUUGGCGCAUUCUUCCUUUAGGACCUAUAGUGAGGUUUUAAAUAGAGACAGAACUUGCCCUGUGGCCCACGUUGGAGUCCGCUGGCAUGAUCGUGAUCCACUGCAGCCUCAACUUCUUUGGGUUCAAAUGAACUUCCCACCUUAGCCACCUGAGCAUCUCGCCUAUCUGGACUCCACCUAUCCUCCCCUGUCAGCAUCUCACAGCAUAGGCAUGGGCCACCAGAACCAGCUUAUUUUUGUAUUUUUUUAAGCAGAAGAGAUCUUACCAUGUUGUGAAGACUGGUCUCGUACUUCUGGCUGAAGUGAUUUGUUCUCCUAAGCCUUCCAAAUUGGUGGGAUUACAUAUGUGAACCACCACACAAAGACUCCUACUGGUAUAUUUAGAAGGAUAUAAGUAUGCCGGUUUUUGGAUGCAUGCAUGGAGAAGACCCCAAAGCUUUUCACUUUUCCCUGAGUUUGGGCUAAACACUAGAGUUCCUCAAAGAGUCCAUAUCCAAAGUCUGGGCAGUUUUUCUUUUCUUUCUUUUCCUUUUUUUUUUUCUUGGAUUGUUUUUAAAAAAUAUGUCGAGAAUAGUAGACCAUCAAAAAGGUGACAGAACACAGAUUAAGUGGAUAUACAACACAAAGAAUGCAGACCACAAAAAUAGCUCUGGAGGGUUGCUACACAAGUAAACAACCCACAAACUAAGGAAUUGUGGAUGUUAAGAAUUUGUUAUCCAAAUAUGCUGAAUACUAUCCAAUAUUUCAAUUCACUUCAUUUUACUAUUCUCAAAGACCUAAGGGAACCCAGGAGUACAGUGAUUCAAAACUGAAAAUACCAGUAAAGACAUACAGAUUAUUUUAAAAAUGAAAUCAAUAACCUUGAAGUUACUAGGAAGCUGUGUGAUUGAAAGUCAGUCACUCAAUCACAUGAUCCUGGGAUUUUCCUCUACAUGUGGGACUACCCAUACCUUGCAGCAUUGCUGUGAGUUCACCUGAGCAAGACACCUGCACAUGGUGGUGCUCAGGAAAUGUUAAUUUCCCUUUAUUGAAAUGGAACAACCCAUGGGUAUUAUGUCUUGAGGUCUGGAUUACAGUUGAGCAAGAUACAGAAGACGUUGUAAACCCUGAGGAGGCAUCACUGAUCACUGGGAGUCUGGAAAGGCAGCAGAGAAAAAGUGACCUGCAGCUGGAAAUGGCCAAUGGGUCUGUUACAGGAAGUUACACAGGCAUGAGUGGGGCAGAAGAGAGUUCUCCCAUCCACCUACCAGGAAUGUCAGGCCAUCGGGUAAUGGUUGGACAGUUAUCACAUUGCUUUUCUAAAAAUAAUAAUUUAGCAGCAGAGCCAGGGAUAGACAAGUUCCUACUGAUACACAGCUGGUAACAUUAAAGUGUUAACUAAAGUCACACUCCCGGGAGGGGGAAAAAGGGCUUCUAGUAAAAUUUUACAUACUGGGUGAGUGAACUGAGACAUGCACAUUAAGAGACGAAAUGGUACAGCAUGACUUUCUGGGGUCACUCCACCAAAAAAAGGGAGGAAGCUUCAGAUGGGCAUGCAUAUAAAUGCUCAAACACACUGCCUAUGCUCACUUCUCAAGGGUAAGGAGGGCACUGUGCCUGCUGGCAGCCCACACUUAGGAAAGAAUCAUGGAAAAAGGUGCACCAGAUGCUCAAGGUGGGCCAGCCUAUAAAGUCCCAGAAUGAAGAGAAAUGGCCACACUUGUUCUUCAAGUCACCCACUUGGAUCUCUUCCAAGUGCACUUUUCAUUCUUUCCUGCUCUAAAGCUUUUUAAUAAAUGUCCACUCCUGCUGUGAAACUUGCCUCAGGAUUUUUUUUCCUUCUUUAUGCCCAUCAGUUGAACUCUUUCACCUGAGGAGGCAAGAACUGACAUUGCUAAAGACGCAGAUGGAUUUGCUGCCAGUAACUCCGAUACUUUCCACCAGUAACAGAUCUAGGAGCUGGUGGACAUAGUUGCUGAAGCAUGUGUCCAGAAUGUUUCUGCCCAGGCCACAAGCAGUCCUGCACUGUAAAGGGACUUGAACCCCAAGCUCAGGGGACACCAUGGAAAGAGACUUCAGCCCGCUGAUGGAAUACUGGAGAUAGGAAUUUUUUAUUGAGGUAUAAUUCCCAUAAUAUGUUAACUGUUUUUUAAGGUAUAAUUCAGUGACACAGGAAUGUGCAUGUUCUACCACUUCUUAAUUCCAAAUUAUUUUCAUCAUCUCAAAAGGAAAUCCCCUACCUAUUAAGGAGCUACUACCCAAUCUGUCCUCUUUCUGACUCCUGACAAUUAACAAUCUGUUUUCUUUCUCUGUGAAAUUAUUUAUUUUGGAUAUGUUUAUAAAU